ensembl:lncRNA GUSBP5 GUSB pseudogene 5
UACAUUAGGGUAAUUACAUUAGUGUCAAGAUAUGCCAUAAUACUGAGAAUGGAGGAGUCUGAGGCCCUGGUCCAUCAACUGACAGCAUGAACUUCACGUCAAGAAGUGAGAUUGGUGAAUAAGUGAAGACAGAAGGAAAAUUGGAGAUACAGCUGGAUGUAUGAACCCUGCUCUGAAAACACUCUUUAACGCUUGUACACGAGAGUCCAGCAGGACUGUGGCCCACCUCAACAGAAGAGGAACUGUGUGCUCCGUGAGGAUGUCAUAGAUUCUGCCUUACCAGUAUGGAAAUCCUGAAAACACCAUCAACUCUUCAUCAUCACUAAAUUCUCCUUUGUCACA